rnacentral:rRNA from 1 species
UACGGAGGGGGCAAGCGUUGUUCGGAAUCAUUGGGCGUAAAGGGCGUGUAGGUGGUUCUGUAUGUCUACCGUGAAAGCGUACGGCUCAACCGUAUUUAGUCGGUAGAAACUGCAGGACUUGAGGCUGGGAGGGGCUGGUGGAAUUCCCCGUGUAGCGGUGAAAUGCGUAGAGAUGGGGGAGAACACUCGUGGCGAAGGCGGCCAGCUAGACCAGUUCUGACACUGAGGCGCGAUAGCGUGGGGAGCAAACAGG